rnacentral:rRNA from 1 species
UACGUAGGAGGCGAGCGUUGUCCGGAGUUACUGGGCGUAAAGGGUGCGCAGGCGGCGGUUCGCGUGGAUAGAUGAAAUCUCCUGGCUUACCUGGGAGGAUGGUAUCCAGACGGGAUCGCUUGAGGGUCGGAGAGGGGCGGUGGAAUUCCGGGUGGAGCGGUGAAAUGCGUAGAGAUCCGGAGGAACACCGACGGCGUAGGCAGCGCCCUGGACGACACCUGACGCUGAGGCACGGAAAGCUGGGGGAGCGAACAGG